GACAGAGGGUGCAAACGUUGUUCGGAUUUACUGGGCGUAAAGCGCGUGUAGGCGGCUUCGUAAGUUGGAUGUGAAAUCCCACGGCUCAACCGUGGACGUGCAUCCAAAACUACGUCGCUGGAGUCUCGGAGAGGAAGGUGGAAUGCUUGGUGUAGAGGUGAAAUUUGUAGAUAUCAAGCAGAACACCUGCGGCGAAGGCGGCCUUCUGGACGAUGACUGACGCUGAGACGCGAAAGCGUGGGGAGCAAACAGG
rnacentral:rRNA from 1 species